UACGGGGGGGGCAAGCGUUGUUCGGAAUUACUGGGCGUAAAGGGCUCGUAGGUGGCCAACUAAGUCAGACGUGAAAUCCCUCGGCUUAACCGGGGAACUGCGUCUGAUACUGGAUGGCUUGAGUUCGGGAGAGGGAUGUGGAAUUCCAGGUGUAGCGGUGAAAUGCGUAGAUAUCUGGAGGAACACCGGUGGCGAAGGCGACAUCCUGGACCAACACUGACGCUGAGGAGCGAAAGCCAGGGGAGCGAUCCGG
rnacentral:rRNA from 1 species